CGGAGGGUGCAAGCGUUAUCCGGAUUCACUGGGUUAAAGGGAGCGCAGGCGGACUGGUAAGUCAGUGGUGAAAUACCUGAGCUUAACUCGGGAACUGCCAUUGAUACUAUCAGUCUUGAAUGUUGUUGAGGUUUGCGGAAUGGGUCAUGUAGCGGUGAAAUGCAUAGAUAUGACCCGGAACACCUAUUGCGAAGGCAGCAGGCUAAACAAAUAUUGACGCUGAGGCUCGAAAGCGUGGGGAUCAAACAGGAUUAGAUACCCUGGUAGUCCACGCCCUAAACGAUGAUUACUCGACAUACGCGAUACACUGUGUGUGUCUGAGCGAAAGCAUUAAGUAAUCCACCUGGGAAGUACGACCGCAAGGUUG
rnacentral:rRNA from 1 species